rnacentral:rRNA from 1 species
UGUUAGCGAGAGCCACAAAAAAGCGAAUUCCAAUAUAUGUUUUCGGGCUUUAUGUGCGCAUCCUCUACCUAUCAAGUGUUUUUUUAAUUAUAAGUCGAAAGUUUCUUUUUAAAAUCUUCUUUAGCUUAAAACAUACGGAAGAUUUUGUUACUUUGAGUAA